rnacentral:rRNA from 1 species
AUUGAACGCUGGCGGCAGGCCUAACACAUGCAAGUCGAACGGUAACAGGAAGCAGCUUGCUGCUUUGCUGACGAGUGGCGGACGGGUGAGUAAUGUCUGGGAAACUGCCUGAUGGAGGGGGAUAACUACUGGAAACGGUAGCUAAUACCGCAUAACGUCGCAAGACCAAAGAGGGGGACCUUCGGGCCUCUUGCCAUCGGAUGUGCCCAGAUGGGAUUAGCUAGUAGGUGGGGUAACGGCUCACCUAGGCGACGAUCCCUAGCUGGUCUGAGAGGAUGACCAGCCACACUGGAACUGAGACACGGUCCAGACUCCUACGGGAGGCAGCAGUGGGGAAUAUUGCACAAUGGGCGCAAGCCUGAUGCAGCCAUGCCGCGUGUAUGAAGAAGGCCUUCGGGUUGUAAAGUACUUUCAGCGGGGAGGAAGGGAGUAAAGUUAAUACCUUUGCUCAUUGGCGUUACCCGCAGAAGAAGCACCGGCUAACUCCGUG